rnacentral:lncRNA from 1 species
GCUGGCUGGUAGAGUGCCCUGCCUCACAACAACAUUCAGAGGCAGAAAACAAAACUGAGGUCUAGUCUUUGGAUUUUUUUUACCAGCUCUACGUACCCCAGCUCUACGCACCCUAACUCUCUUUCCACUGCUCUUCAAAAUUAGAUGACAGAAAUAAAAUGGCUCUCUCCUGAAGUAGCAAGGAAAACCAAAAUUAGUAGAUGAAGAUAAGGGUGCCUCUCACAAGCACUUGCCUGAGUCUAAAUAUUCGUGGUGUGCAGAGAUAAAAUAUCCAGCUCCGGAUACAGGACACGGCAGACAGAGCUCGCGAUGGCAACUCGGAGCUCCACAGAUGGGACUGGGCUUCUGGAGAGGAGAGGCGAGCAGGAACGGUGGGUGUGGCGUGAGAUGACGUCAUCCCAGAUAGGGUUUUUCUCUGGAAGUGAUUGCUGCUGAAUCAUCCCCGGGGCCAAUUUUCAGCGUGUCAGUUGGACAAAGGUCCCUGUAAUUAAGGCCUUGUCCCACCACUUGCCACAGCACAAUUCUGCCUAUGUUGCCGUUUGAGGCCAGACAAGAAAACAUGAAUAUAUAAAAUUACCAUAUCUGCUAGAGCUGCGGUGGAGGGCAAAAACCAAUGCUGUCGUGACAGCCAAUAAUACUAUUGCUGCUCCUCUCCCAACAGCACAAAUG